AAUUCGAUUUCACACUGGAACUGAGACACGGUCCAGACACCUACGGGUGGCAGCAGUCGAGAAUUUUUCUCAAUGGGGGCAACCCUGAAGGAGCGACGCCGCGUGGAGGAUGAAGGCUUUCGGGUUGUAAACUCCUGUCAUUUGAGAACAAGUGUAGCUAAGUAACUACUGGCUACUUGAUAGUAUCAGAAGAGGAAGAGACGGCUAACUCUGUGCCAGCAGCCGCGGUAAUACAGAGGUCUCAAGCGUUGUUCGGAUUCAUUGGGCGUAAAGGGUGCGUAGGUGGCGCCAUAAGUCGGGUGUGAAAUUUCGGAGCUUAACUCCGAAACUGCAUUCGAUACUGUGGUGCUUGAGGACUGGAGAGGAGACUGGAAUUCACGGUGUAGCAGUGAAAUGCGUAGAGAUCGUGAGGAAGACCAGUGGCGAAGGCGGGUCUCUGGACAGUUCCUGACACUGAGGCACGAAGGCCAGGGGAGCAAACGGGAUUAGAUACCCCGGUAGUCCUGGCAGUAAACGGUGCACGUUUGGUGUGGGGGGAUUCGACCCCUUCCGCGCCGGAGCUAACGCGUUAAACGUGCCGCCUGGGGAGUACGGUCGCAAGAUUAAAACUCAAAGGAAUUGACGGAA
rnacentral:rRNA from 1 species